rnacentral:rRNA from 1 species
GAUGAACGCUAGCGGCAGGCUUAAUACAUGCAAGUCGAGGGGCAGCAUGAAUGUAGCAAUACAUUUGAUGGCGACCGGCAAACGGGUGCGGAACACGUACACAACCUUCCUAUAAGUGGGGAAUAGCCCAGAGAAAUUUGGAUUAAUACCCCGUAACAUAAUGAUGUGGCAUCACAUUAUUAUUAUAGCUACGGCGCUUGUUGAUGGGUGUGCGGCUGAUUAGAUAGUUGGCGGGGUAACGGCCCACCAAGUCUACGAUCAGUAGCUGAUGUGAGAGCAUGAUCAGCCACACGGGCACUGAGACACGGGCCCGACUCCUACUGGAGGCAGCAGUAAGGAAUAUUGGUCAAUGGACGCAAGUCUGAACCAGCCAUGCCGCGUGAAGGAUUAAGGUCCUCUGGAUUGUAAACUUCUUUUAUCUGGGACGAAAAAAGGCUAUUCUUAGUCACUUGACGGUACCAGAUGAAUAAGCACCGGCUAACUCUGUGCCAGCCGCCGCGGUAACAC